rnacentral:rRNA from 1 species
AAAGUGUAUGUCAUUAUUGCUGCGGUUAAAAAGCUCGUAGUUGGAUCUGAGCCUUUGGCGACAGUUCGUUUUCAUGCGAUACUGUGGCCGGGGUUAAUUUUGUCGGUUCGCCGGCAAGAGUUACUCUGAAUAAAUCAGAGUGCUCAAAACAAGCGUUUCGCUUGAAUGUUUUUGCAUGGAAUAAUGGAAAAGGACUUCGGUUCCUUACUGUUGGUUUCGGAAUUGGAUUAAUGAUUAAGAGGGACCAACGGGGGCAUGCGUACCGCUACGCGAGAGGUGAAAUUCAUGGACCGUAGCGUGACGACCUAAAG